GGUGUAGUGCCGGAUUAAACGGAUUGCGAUGAUGACGCAGUGCAUGAGGGAUUUAUCUCUUCUUCACCU
rnacentral:tRNA from 1 species